UUAAUUAUGCAGAAAAUGAUCCCCAAAAUUUCUCGCGCUCCCCAUCAUGCACAGACGCUCAAACAUCGCCGCAAUGAUUCUAUCGCCGAGCAGGAAGCGGGAUGUGCAGUCCACCGGAGACGCCGCCGCUCAGGCAUUGCAGGGAUCCCCCGAUUGCCAGAGCUUCAUCAAUCGCUCAUCAGGUUUAUGGCACAAAAAAUCUGAUUCGCACCCACCACCGGCUCUCCACAUGAACACCACAUCUUGGUGCUGGAGGCGCCCCCAAUCCUCCAAAGGGGAUCUAGCCAUCUAGAAUAGUAGAUGCGAUUUACUUCAUCAUUUUUCGGCCAGAUCGAUAACUAUUGUUGCUGCCGUGCGGGGGUUCGUUGACUGCCGCAGCCCAGGCAAAUGAGCUUCUGAUCAACGACAGCAGCAAAGAGGUAUCUGUCAGUUGCCAAUUGCCAUGCUAUAGAUGUCCUAUGAAUUGAGAUAACAUUAUCUAGAUUUCAUGAUUUUCAGUAUUACAUUGGGUCCAUUGAAAAUCGACCGAGAUCUGGGUAUUUUUGUACACUGAUAAAUUGAUGAAUCCAUUACCAAUCUUAGAUUCUAGUAAUCAUUUAUAAAGAUUAUCAUAAAUCACGUAUAAGAGACAUAUAUUCUAGCUAGUCAAUCAUUUAGAGAAAUUUGAGUAAAUAGAUUUUUUUUAGAAAUCGCAAUUGAUAUAUUUAUUAUGGCUAGACUUGCUUUCUCAUAACACACAAUUGUUUCGUAGAUCUGGCAAUCGGCUCUGUGUUUCCUAAUUUCAGUAUGUUUCAUUUGUGGGAGUUGGCGACUGGCGAGUAUCUUGGGCUACAAACGAGCAUGCAAGACUUCAAAAUCUUAAGUUGGGUAGUUAUCAGGAACUUUUUUCUACUAAAUCAUAAAAAAGUCCAUAGACUAGCAGCCGAUUCCAUUGUCUUCAUUUACUCUUUUCAGUAUUUACCCUCAUUUACUACUUUA